AGCAAUACAUCACCGGCGGACGGGUGCGUAACACGUGGGAAUAUACCUUUUGGUUCGGAACAACGCAGGGAAACUUGCGCUAAUACCGAAUGUGCCCUUACGGGGAAAGAUUUAUCGCCAAAGGAUUAGCCCGCGUAGGAUUAGCUAGUUGGUGAGGUAAUGGCUCACCAAGGCUCCGAUCCUUAGCUGUUCUGAGAGGAAGAUCAGCCACACUGGGACUGAGACACGGCCCAGACUCCUACGGGAGGCAGCAGUUGGGAAUCUUGGACAAUGGGGGAAACCCUGAUCCAGCCAUGCCGCGUGAGUGAUGAAGGCCUUCGGGUUGUAAAACUCUUUCGACGGGGACGAUAAUGACGGUACCCGUAGAAGAAGCUCCGGCUAACUUCGUGCCAGCAGCCGCGGUAAUACGAAGGGGGCUAGCGUUGUUCGGAAUUACUGGGCGUAAAGCGCGCGCAGGCGGUUAUCCAAGUCAGUGGUGAAAGCCCGGAGCUCAACUCCGGAACUGCCAUUGAAACUGUUUAGCUUGAGGACGAGAGAGGUGAGUGGAAUUCCCAGUGUAGAGGUGAAAUUCGUAGAUAUUGGGAAGAACACCGGUGGCGAAGGCGGCUCACUGGCUCGUAUCUGACGCUCAGGCGCGACAGCGUGGGGAUCAAACAGGAUUAGAUACCCUGGUAGUCCACGCCGUAAACGAUGAUUGCUAGCCGUUGGGCAGCUUGCUGUUCAGUGGCGCAGCUAACGCAUUAAGCAAUCCGCCUGGGGAGUACGGCCGCAAGGUUGAAACUCAAAGGAAUUGACGGGGGCCCGCACAAGCGGUGGAGCAUGUGGUUUAAUUCGACGCAACGCGCAGAACCUUACCAGGGUUUGACAUCCUGCGACCGCCCUCUAAUAGGGUUUUCCCGCAAGGGACGCAGAGACAGGUGCUGCAUG
rnacentral:rRNA from 1 species